rnacentral:sRNA from 1 species
AGCGGAAUUCGUGAGACCUUCUGCCAUGAGGAGUAACUGGCAGAAACACAUGUGGUGAAGGGGUCUGGAGGUGGGCCCUGUAGUGACAGCCAUGUAGUGGCCGGGACACUGUCCUUUCCCAAAUGGGGAUGACUCAGGCACAUGCAAGCUGUCUGUGGAGCCAGAUUCUGGGCCAUGCAUGUGGCAGAUGACCUGCUGAGACUGGGGGCUUGGGGACUCGGUGUGUCCGUGAGUGAAUCAAGUCUCCUUCAAUUUAACUGUGGUUGCAGUGCAAGAGGCCUAGGUGAUACUACUAGAGGCAGGGUGAAUUAAGUAUAUUUGUCAGAAUCAUCCUUCCGUGGGUGCUGCCAUCCCCCAGCCUCCUGUUGCUCACCGAGUUUAAGAUUGCCUGGGCCUACACUCCUGCACCUUACCCUGGGAAGGCCUGUCAUUGCAAGGGCAUCCUCUCCAGGGUCCCAGUGCACCUCUGUGCUGACUUUGGGAUCUUCUGUGAUUUUGCACAUCCACCAAUCAGUGUCUCACCAUGACCACACUUGCUGCACUGGAAGAGGCUUCAGGCUGCCUUCAGAAAAUAGGGAAGUGUUCGGGGAGGAGGUGGACAGAGAGCUCCAAGUGCAGGACGUGGUGCCUACUGAUGCCAUCUCAGACAUUGCUGGACAUGGGCAUCUUCAGCUCCUGAAACACCUAUGUUCCCUGUUUGUGUUUGUGUCCCCAUAUCGAGCCUGUGUGUGUAUACACAUGUGUGCUUGUGUCGCCUGUGUGUGUGUGUGUGUGUGUGUGUGUGUGUG